rnacentral:lncRNA from 1 species
GUUUGAUGUGCCAGAGGGGUGACUUGUUUGAGUCAUUCUGAAGGUGUGUGUUGCCUUCAGAACCACAUGACUUCAUGCCUGUCUCCUUAGAGCAUUUGCUGUACCAGGAAUUACAUAACCAAAUAGCCACAGUUAACCGGGGAAACAACACCACGGUGGCAAUGAGGUAAUAGCUCAGCCCAGGCAGGAAGUCAGUUAAUAACGCAGGGUCAGGCUUGUGUAAUUUUUGACUCAUACUGGUUAAAAUUUCCCAAAGUGGGAGAAAAUGUUCUGGAUCUCAGAAAUGACAGGGAUCACAUGAAAGACACUAUCUUCUUAGAUUGUAUCAGAGAGGAAACUAAUAGUCUAAAGCAGAUGGACCACCAUUACAACCACCAGAGCUCACACAGUGUUUUGCCUGCAUGCGUGCCUAUGAACUACACACAUGCUCAGUGUCUGAGGAGACCAGAAGAGGGUGGCAGGUCCCCUGGAACUGGAGUUACAGAUGGCUGUAAAUUACCAUUUCCACAGGAACCAUGACGAAGCAGUGCAAUCUACAAGUGUUCACAAGUGUUCUGGAGAAGCAGUUUGCAUCCACAAGGCAGCCACCAGAAACCAGGUCAUGGCCCUGAAAUAACUGUGGCUUUUUGUUGACCUUGCAACAGAGGUGCAGAGUGGCUCCUAACUUUGCAAAGGAUGAAAUGCAUUUGCGUCUGCCUCUGACAGCAGUGUGACUGUGGUGUGACUGUAAGCUUUGGGACAGAGUUCUAAGGAAAGAAAGCUCAAGUUGGUGGAGAACGAGUGCCACAAAACCGAACUUAGAAGUCUGUCCUUCCUUCUGUAUUAGAUAGCUAUGAUUGAGGAGAAUUCAAUUAAAAUUCUAUUGUUCAAACAGAAUAUUUCCAUAUUCUUAUUGGACUCUGUAAUAGCAUACUUGGAAGACAAGCAGCUCAAGUGG